UGCGUAGGCGGUUUGGUAAGUCUUCUGUGAAAUCUAUGGGCUCAACUCAUAGACUGCAUGAGAAACUGCCGGGCUGGAGUGUGGGAGAGGUGAGUGGAAUUCCUGGUGUAGCGGUGAAAUGCGUAGAUAUCAGGAGGAACACCUGUGGCGAAAGCGGCUCACUGGACCAUAACUGACGCUGAUGCACGAAAGCUAGGGGAGCAAACAGGAUUAGAUACCCUGGUAGUCCUAGCCCUAAACCAUGAUUGCUUGGUGUGACGGGUACCCAAUCCCGCCGUGCCGUAGCUAACGCGUUAAGCAAUCCGCCUGGGAGUACGGUCGCAAGGCUGAA
rnacentral:rRNA from 1 species